CCACUGCUGCUGUCACUGUGUGAGCUCGGAGCACACCUACGGAGCCGGGCCACUUGGCACAUGGAGCACGACACACUGCUUUGCAUCCCAGAUGGACUGGGUGUGGAGGAUGUGCACUUCAUUCAGCUGAGAAGGUGACAUAUUCUGAUGUGUGCAGAGACACACCAAGUUAGAAAACUUAGAUGCCUGAGACAUGUUCCACAAGUAGCCAAAUUGCCAAGAAUGUAGACGACCAGCCUUUCUAAACAGUUCUCACCUUUCCAAACAGUUUUGAAAAUUGGUGGACACGCUCUGAGGAAUAGAGUACAUCAUCUUCACACAAUCCUAAUUUACAAUAUAUGACAAUGAAGAUGUGUUCGAUUCUUAGAAUUACAGGAAAUGUUCUUGUAACAUCUCCUUGAGCUCCUGAUCUUUUUCUUCCCUCAGUCAACUACCAUUCUUUGUGACUUACUGACAAUUUUCACCACGGAUUCCAUUGUGUUUCCUCCUAAUAUUAUAUCUACUUGACUUCAUCUUGCUAGCAGCCUUUUUGAUACACUGAAGAGAGAGAGAAAUUGUGGCUCACCUUCAUCUCAAAGGCUUCACUUGGAGCCAUCAUCAAUAUAUAUUCACAAAACAAUAAAAAAGAGUGAAUCAGGCACUGCUGAGAAGAGGAAUUGGCAGCCAGAAGAGAGGAUAAAGAGACCAGAAUAAAUUGGGUUUUGGGGGUUCUGUUUGUUUGGUUUUGUUGUUUUUGUCCUCUAAAAAACCCUUCUGGCAGCCCUGAAUGAGAUAAAUGUUCAUUAAUUAGCAUAGAUGAUGAGUUCUUGCUUUGGUGAAGGGCAAUUCUACUCCUUUAAUACAGGCUUGUGAUUUUCCCUCCCUAAAGCUACAGCAAGGAAUUUAAAUUCAUCAGCUGUAACUUGUGAUGGAAUGAAGAGGAGCCUCUUUUAAAUGUUACAGAAGUAUAAAGUAGUGAAGCUUUGUGGUACUUUAAAAUCUGCUGAAUAUGUGUAUUUUAUUUUAUUUUAUUCUAUGGGACACAAGGGGAGAGAGUAAUUAUGAUUGUAAGUAUCAAAUAUAUGUCAGCUUAUCUGCAACAACGUCUCAGUCACAGAUUUAUAGGUGGUUCUCAGAUCGUCCUGAGGCUCAGAAUAGCUCUUUGUACUGUUAGAACCUUGAGAUGUUGAAGGGUAAUUCUCCAAAGUGAGGAAAAACUUAUUAAAAAAAAAAAAAAGGUAUUUUUCCCUUGUUAAGAGUACUUUUGAAAACCACCUCAAAACAAUAUUCAAAUAUACUAGCCUGAAAAAUAUUGAGUUUUCUCAAAACAUUUUCUGAAAUGUAAUUAAUGUAUAGACAUACUCAACAGAGAUUAGCAUGUAGUGCAUAUUUUAGUUAUAUCAACCUGAAGCUACUGUUUAUGCUAUGCAGAAAAGGUUUUUUGUCUUCAUUCCUGAGCACAUUCUGGCCCAAAAAUCUUUCAUAGAAUUAUCUUCACAUGUCUUAAAUUACUGUGGAGGAGUUGAAUGCACUCAGCAAGAUGUAGAACUCAUAUCCACUGCCCAUGUUUUUAGUAUGAUUCGUAUAUUAAAUCACGUUAGUUUAGGAGCCAAAAGAUACCUCUGAUAGGUUUCUGCUAAUGCAAGCUUGAUUCCAUGCCCAUGUUUUUCUUCAGUGAAGCAGUAAGCCACUGAACUUUGCUUGAACUCAGAUUCACAGAACAGCGCAGUACAUAUUUGAUGCAACCCAUCCUGUUCAUAUUCAAUUUCUUUUUUAUUCAUUAAAAAAAAAAAAAAAAAA